GACCGUGUAUCUCAGUUGGAAGAGCAUUGGGCUAGUAUUCCAAAGGUCGUAGGUUCGAAUCCCACCGUGGCCG